rnacentral:rRNA from 1 species
UACGGAGGAUGCAAGCGUUAUCCGGAAUGAUUGGGCGUAAAGCGUCCGCAGGUGGCUAUGUAAGUCUGCUGUUAAAGAGUGAGGCUCAACCUCAUAAAAGCAGUGGAAACUACAUGGCUAGAGUGCGUUCGGGGCAGAGGAAAUUCCUGGUGUAGCGGUGAAAUGCGUAGAGAUCAGGAAGAACACCGGUGGCGAAAGCGCUCUGCUAGGCCGCAACUGACACUGAGGGACGAAAGCUAGGGGAGCGAACAGG